rnacentral:ncRNA from 1 species
CGAAGCUACGGGUUCAUCCUCUGGAUGAGCGGUAGAGGAGCGUCGUGUAAGCCAAUGAAGGUGGAUUGAGAAGUCUGCUGGAGGUAUCACGAGUGCGAAUGCUGACAUGAGUAACGAUAAGGGGAGUGAAAAACUCCCCCGCCGGAAGACCAAGGUUUUCUGUUCUACGUUAAUCGGAGCAGAGUGAGUCGGCCCCUAAGGCGAGGCGGAAACGCGUAGUCGAUGGGAAACGGGUUAAUAUUCCCGUACCGGAUGUGGUUGCGAUGGGGGGACGAAGAAGGCUAGGUGAGCCAGGCGUUGGUUGUCCUGGUGAAAGCAUGUAGGCCGAGGAAUCAGGCAAAUCCGGUUCCUCCGAGGUCGAGAUGCGAGACGAACUGACCACGGUCAGGAAGUCAUCGAUGCCACGCUUCCAGGAAAAGCCUCUAAGCUUCAGAUCACAUGCGACCGUACCCCAAACCGACACAGGUGGUCAGGUAGAGAAUACCAAGGCGCUUGAGAGAACUCGGGUGAAGGAACUAGGCAAAAUGGCACCGUAACUUCGGGAGAAGGUGCACCGGUUCGAGUGAAGGACUUGCUCCGUAAGCUCCUACCGGUCGAAGAUACCAGGUGGCUGCAACUGUUUAUUAAAAACACAGCACUCUGCAAACGCGCAAGCGGACGUAUAGGGUGUGACGCCUGCCCGGUGCCGGAAGGUUAAUUGAUGGGGUUAGGAUUCGUCCGAAGCUCUUGAUCGAAGCCCCGGUAAACGGCGGCCGUAACAAUAACGGUCCUAAGGUAGCGAAAUUCCUUGUCGGGUAAGUUCCGACCUGCACGAAUGGCGUAAUGAUGGCCACGCUGUCUCCACCCGAGACUCAGUGAAAUUGAAAUCGCAGUGAAGAUGCUGUGUACCCGCGGCUAGACGGAAAGACCCCGUGAACCUUUACUAUAGCUUUACACUGGAUGCUGAUGUUGUCUGUGUAGGAUAGCUGGGAGGCUUUGAAACCGCGUCGCCAGAUGCGGUGGAGCCAACCUUGAAAUACCAGCCUGACAUCAUUGGCGUUCUAACUCAGGUCCGUCAUCCGGAUCGAGGACAGUGUAUGGUGGGUAGUUUGACUGGGGCGGUCUCCUCCUAAAGAGUAACGGAGGAGCACGAAGGUACCCUCAGCACGGUUGGAAAUCGUGCAUUGAGUGCAAGAGCAUAAGGGUGCUUGACUGCGAGACAGACACGUCGAGCAGGUACGAAAGUAGGUUCUAGUGAUCCGGUGGUUCUGUAUGGAAGGGCCAUCGCUCAACGGAUAAAAGGUACUCCGGAG